GGAUACAUUCCGGAAAGCGGGGGAUAGCCCAGGGAAACUUGGAUUAAUACCGCAUGUGGUCGAGAGACUAAAGACGGGGAUCGAAAGACCUGUCACUUUCCGAUUGGUCCGCGGCCUAUCAGCUAGUUGGCGGGGUAAAAGCCCACCAAGGCUACGACGGGUAGCUGGUCUUAGAGGACGACCAGCCACACUGGAACUGAGACACGGUCCAGACACCUACGGGUGGCAGCAGUCGAGAAUCUUUCACAAUGGGGGCAACCCUGAUGGAGCGACGCCGCGUGGAGGAUAAGGUCUUCGGAUUGUAAACUCCUGUCAUGCGUGAACAAGGUUGCUUGGUUACUACCUGGGCAAAUUGAUGGUAACGCAAGAGGAAGAGACGGCUAACUCUGUGCCAGCAGCCGCGGUAAUACAGAGGUCUCAAGCGUUGUUCGGAAUCACUGGGCGUAAAGGGUGCGUAGGUGGCGUGGUAAGUCAGAUGUGAAAGCCCGGGGCUCAACCUCGGAACUGCAUCCGAUACUGCCAUGCUAGAGUACUGGAGAGGUGACUAGAAUUCUCGGU
rnacentral:rRNA from 1 species